CAAGGUGCUGACGAGUGGCGAACGGGUGAGUAAUGCAUCGGAACGUGCCCAGUCGUGGGGGAUAACGCAGCGAAAGCUGCGCUAAUACCGCAUACGAUCUGUGGAUGAAAGCGGGGGACCGUAAGGCCUCGCGCGAUUGGAGCGGCCGAUGUCAGAUUAGGUAGUUGGUGGGGUAAAGGCUCACCAAGCCAACGAUCUGUAGCUGGUCUGAGAGGACGACCAGCCACACUGGAACUGAGACACGGUCCAGACUCCUACGGGAGGCAGCAGUGGGGAAUUUUGGACAAUGGGCGCAAGCCUGAUCCAGCAAUGCCGCGUGCAGGAAGAAGGCCUUCGGGUUGUAAACUGCUUUUGUACGGAACGAAACGGCGAGCUCUAAUACAGUUUGCUAAUGACGGUACCGUAAGAAUAAGCACCGGCUAACUACGUGCCAGCAGCCGCGGUAAUACGUAGGGUGCAAGCGUUAAUCGGAAUUACUGGGCGUAAAGCGUGCGCAGGCGGUUUUGUAAGACAGUCGUGAAAUCCCCGGGCUCAACCUGGGAAUUGCGAUUGUGACUGCAAAGCUGGAGUGCGGCAGAGGGGGAUGGAAUUCCGCGUGUAGCAGUGAAAUGCGUAGAUAUGCGGAGGAACACCGAUGGCGAAGGCAAUCCCCUGGGCCUGCACUGACGCUCAUGCACGAAAGCGUGGGGAGCAAACAGGA
rnacentral:rRNA from 1 species